rnacentral:rRNA from 1 species
AUGCAAAACGACUCUUGGUUGGACAAGAUUAAGCUGCCCGUGGACUGGAAAAUGGCCCACAUUCGGCAAAUUGUGACCCUUUGGGCGCGCUCUCGAGGCAUUCAUCUCGUGGGCGAAAUCAAGGAUGACAUCAUUUCGAAGCACAUGGCAAGCUGGCACUACUCUGCAAUUUUGGCAUACAAAGCGCAAUCCCUUGGCACCAUUAGAUCACCCAUGACUUAUGCGGUUUGGAAGGUUUGGGCGCCUCCUAAGGUGAAAUUCUUCAUGUGGCUUGCAAUCCAGAAACGGAUUUGGAAGGCGGAGGAUAGGCUUCAAAAGUGUGGUUGGCCAAAUUGCGGCCUAUGCCCUCUCUGUAAGAAAACCGAGGAAUCAAUGCCUCAGUGGGCCACCUGUUCUUCAAGUGCCGGUUCACUAAGUGGUUAUGGGGCAUGA